rnacentral:lncRNA from 1 species
GAACUUCCGGGAAGGCGCCAUUGCACUAAGCUCAAGUCUCUGAAGGUCAGAGUCACAGUAUAAACUAUGUCCUUUCCAAAGGAUUAGUGUGUGUGUGUGUGUGUGUGUGUGUGUGUGUGUGUGUGUGUGUGUGUGUGAUAUAUGUCUAUGUAUGUGUGCCAUAUGAGUUCAAGAGUCCAAGAUAAGUCAGAAAAGGCAUGGAUCCUCUGGAUGUGGGGUGUGAGUGUUCCUAUGGAUACCUGGUACUGAGUCUGGAACCUCUGCAAGAACAGCCCGUGCUCUUCAUUGGAGAACCACCUCUCCAGAACCCACCUCAAUCCUUGAGCCAUACGUACUUAAUAACAUUGUAUAGUAUUAUCCCUGGUUUUUCGGGAUGAAAACAGGUAAGUUGACACCUAUCCUCUAGCUUGGGGGCAAAAUACAAGGAUAUAACUCUGGGGCUUACCCAGAGAUGAAGAGCAGUUUCUAGAAACAGCCUUGUCAAUCAACUAACAUCUUGAAUGUAUUGUAAACACACUUACAGGUUUAAUUUGCAGGUGGAAAUGGUAGGCUUCUACCAGCUCAGAGAAGGGAAUAACCUAACCUGCGUUCCCCUAUCUCUGUUUGACACAAGACAGAACAACAAAAUUUACAGAAGAAAUCCUGAGAUUUCACUCAUCAGAGUGAGAGAAGAAACCUGGGUAGGGAAAGUAGGAUGAGAGGUAGAAAUUCUUCUUCAACUCAAAUUCCCCAGAAGUAUUUUUCCAAAAAUUAUAAAAGUAUUGGUAAUUUUGUACAAAUUUACUCUGUCUUUUAAGAACAUUUUUCUCCUGAGAGCUGUCUCUUCAGAAGCAGAAGUACCCCAUGCUGUGGGAUAAGAAGGCCACAAGGUAUUUCCAUCCAGCAGAGGAAACAGCUCUCCCUUGUACUAAUUAAGACUGUUUCAGGCCCUACACACUCAGCUAGGAUUGGGAAGCCUUGCAGGACGGUGACUGCCUAGCCCCAGACCAGACUUCCAAACUGGAAUUGAUCUUGAUACUUCCUGCAAGUGCCAUCCACCUUUGACCUGAGUGUGAAGAUAUUUGAUAAAGCCCUGAAAAGCAAGCAGUUCCUUGAGACUGAGCACUCUUGGAAAGGGCCAGGUCUAGAAAGCGGGAAGGAGGAGGUAUCAGUCACCACUAUGAUUGUGUACAGUGGGGCUUUCCCCCUCUUAAAGGGACAUUGCAGAAUCACAAAGGUAGGGCAGUUGGAGAAGGAAGAAGGAAGGGAAAAGAUAUGAAUCCACACCUGCAGUUUGAAGGUGUGUGGCAACCAUGUCUCCACUCCUCUGAGGGGACAGCCUCUGGUCAGUCGCACUGAGCCUGCGUCUCGUUGUGUGUGAACCUCUGAACUAUGAGGAAGCUGAGGCAGAAGUGGAUAACGCGUUCUAAAUCAUUAACAACGUUUGUUCUUUGAGCCUCACUUAUAUGUCAUUUUUUCUUCUUCUUUGCUUUAGUGAUUCCCAACCUUCCUGUCUCUGUGACCCUUUAAUACGACGGCUCCUCCUGUUGUGGUGACCCCAACCACAGAAUCAUGUCUUUGUUGCUACCUCACCACUGCAAUUCUGCUAUUGGCUGUGCCCUACCCUGGGUGAUUCUGUUUUACAACCAGCAUUUGGAUCCAUCUGGAGUGUCAAUCGAGCGGCGGCAGGAUGACUCUGCACCAGUUUAUAUACACACACGCGAGAAACAAUACCUGUUCAACACAGACUGAUAGGUUGAAUUUCGGUGACUGAGGCAAGGCUUCCUGAAAUACUUUAUCCACAGACCACACAUUCAGACAGACUAAGAGAUGCUUCAAUUACAGGACCACUACACUUUAAACGAGACUGAGCAUUUAAUUUUUCCUAUGUUUACCAAUGGGAAAAAAGGACCAGUUCCAUGAAUUGAUACACUUUGUGUUGUGUUGUGUCUAUCUGGGUGGUAAGAUGAAAUACAUAGAUGUAUGUUUUGGAAACGUGUUCCUCUCCCAAUCUAAUGAGGGAAAUAGAUGCUUAGUCAUUUGUCAUAAGUGACAGGGCACUUUAGUUCACUGGUUUGCUUUACCCAGAGGGCAGCAGUGAGCUUUGGUAACGCUGUUAGCCAAGAAGGCAACUGUACCAGCGCAGAUAGGAGGAAGUGUCCUCGGAGUGUCUCAGGAAGGCUCUGGCGGAUACGCAUGCGCGAUUCUCACUGUUUUCUGUGUGGAUGGCAGCAGAGCCCUGGUACCAAUUCAUCCUAGUGCCCAAGCUGAGAUACCUAACUUGGGAUAUCACAUACACCCAUUUCUAUCUAUGGGAACUGUAUUCGGUCUGCUCACUCCUCGUUUCUCAGAAGUUCUUCCUGUUUAUGAUGUUGUUUCUGACAUUUAGAAUGUGCGGGUUACAGGUUGGCAAGUUGGCCAGCCAGUACUUGCUAUCAAGCCUGCGUGAGCACCCGAGUUUAAUGAGUAGGAUUCACAUGGGAAAAGGAGAGAACCGGCUUCUACAAGGAGCCUCCUGACCUCCUUACACACACCAUGGCUCAGAGACACUCAUAUACAAAUAAAUAAAUGUU